rnacentral:lncRNA from 1 species
AACUAUGUUCAUAUAUGAAUACACUACCAGUGAACCACAAGAAUGAGAUCCUAAUUAGAAUAAGUUAUAUUCCAUGAAUGUAUAAUAUCCCAAAAUACACUCUACAGUCAUAUAUAUCUAAAGAGAACAAAUAAAAAAUCAAGUUAUUUAAUACAAUUUAUCACAUGCUUAGAAAACUGGUAGCAAAUGCUUAUCUGUUAAAGGGGACUUAUCUACACAUGAGUGCUUGUAGCACUUACAAGUGAAUUUCAGAAUCAGACAAAGGGCUUACAGUCAUGGUUCUCAAACUAUAGAUUGCAUUAGAAUCCCCUGGAGGAUUUAUGUAAACAUGGAUUGCUGGACCUACACCAGAAUUUAUAAUUCAGUAGUUCUGGAAAUAGAGCCUGAAGUGCAUUUCUCAAAAGUUUCCAGAUGAUUUUGAUGCUGAUAAUCUGAAGAAAAUACUCUGAAAACCACUAUUUAGGUUAAUUUCCAAAAUGAUUUCAUUACCAAGGCAGACUGAGCUAGUGGAACUUCCCUCCAGGUCCUCCUUUGAUACCUUAGGAUCAAAAGUCUUUUCUAAAACCAAGGUUUAAGUAUGUCUGAGGCACAUUAUAAUGCCAAAGUAUAGUAAAAUCCUACCCCACUAAAUUUAAAGGAUCCUCUGCUUAAUUCUUCCUUUCUCUUUAGAUGUACAGGGUCUGACACUAUUUUUAAAAG